AUUGCACGCUAGCGUGAUACUUUACACAUGCACGUCGAACGAGUGGCGGACGGGUGAGUAAUAUAUCGGAACGUGCCCAGUAGCGGUGGAUAACUACUAUAAAGAGUGGCUAAUACCGCAUACUAUUUGAUCGGCCGAUAUCGGAUUAGCUAGUUGGUGGGGUAAAGGCUCACAAAGGCAACGAUCCGUAGCUGGUUUUAGAGGAUGACCAGCCACACGGGGAAUAAGACACGGCCCAGACUCCGACGGGAGGCAGCAGUGGGGAAGUUUGGAAAAUGGGGGAAACCCUGAUCCAGCCAUCCCGCGUGUAUGAGAAGGCCUUCGGGUUGUAAAGUACUUUUGGCAGAGAAGCGGUAUCUGCAGAAUAAGCACCGGCUAACUACGUGCCAGCAGCCGCGGUAAUAC
rnacentral:rRNA from 1 species